AGGCAAGCAGCAGCAGCGGGAGGGAGUGCUGGAGGUUUGAAGCUGAGCUGCUGUCUGGGGGCUGCAUAAAAGCAUUGCUUGUGUUGCUGACUGACUCAAGAAGGCAAGGGGAGGAAGCAGGUGCCAGAGAGACAGUGGAAGUGCUGAAGCUGAUGCAUGAGGGCAGUUCCGGGCAAACAAGUGGAAGCUUAAUCCAUAUAAAAGGGAAGUGCUCUGGACUGGAAAGACUACGGACCUGGUGAAAGCUGAACAUGCCUAGAUCCUAUGGAAGGUCAAUGCAAUAAAACCUAGGGCACUGCCACAUGGUCAGAAGAAACAAUUACACCAAGCCUGCUACCAAAGGAUGGAUUUUGCCCCAUUUUAGAUGAUCGCUUGCAAGGGUUUAAAGCAACUAUGGCCUCAUUCAGAUGACAUGUCAACACUCGGUUAUACUUACCUGAGGAGUGCAUUCCAUAGCCCAGAAGCAGCUAUUGAGAAGGCCCGCCUCUGCGUCGCCACCAGACGAACUACUGGGUAACUGGAGACGGACCUCCUCAGAUGACCUUAACGUGCAGUGGGGAUCAUGCAGAAGAAGUGCCUAGAAGCAUAAGGAUUUGCGGAUCUUGGAUCUCGUCUACAAAAAUGAUGCAAUCGACCAGAGUAUGUGCACACCAGGAGAAUGAGCAAGGAAGAGCUGGAUGAAGGACAGGAUUUCCUCAAGCAGCCGCCACUCUGAUUCAAACCCAAUCCAAAUCAAGAGGAAAAGGAAGUCUCUGUGUGUUUGUGUGUGUGUUUGUGUGUGUGUGUGCGUGUGCUGACUUCUUAACUUAUCAUUCACCCCUCCUGAAUAAUGUCUUCCUCUUCAAAGACACCAUUGGUGGAUUUAGGUUCUUAGUUUUUAGUUUUUAUUUAUAACUUUUAAUUUGAAACAUUUAACAUUUGUAACUUUUAAACAUGGUUUUAGUCUGGACUUCUAACUUUUUAAUUUUAUUUUUAUUGUUCUAUAUUGUAUCUAAAUAAAUAAAUAAAUUUAUUGUAUUGUAUCUAAAUAAAUUGUAU